rnacentral:rRNA from 1 species
AUGGCAGAAGAGGAUGAGGAAAAAACCGCAUUUAUCACCCCUUGCGGCACAUACUGUUUUGUACGGAUGCCCUUUGGGUUGAAGAAUGCUGGUUCAACAUUUGCAAGGGUAGUCCAUGUCACUUUUGAGCCACAGAUACACAAAAAUGUGGAAGCCUACAUGGAUGAUAUAGUGGUCAAGAGCAAGGACAAGGCUACCCUGAUCCAAGAUUUAGAAGAAACUUUUGAAAAUCUGCGCAGGAUCAAGCUCAAGCUCAACCCUGAGAACUGCGUGUUUGGAGUCCCUUCCGGCAAGCUUCUCGGGUUCUUUGUGUCUCAGCGGCGAAUUGAAGCCAACCCCGACAAGAUCAAGGCCAUCAAGCAGAUUGAAGCACCGAAGCGCGUCAAGGAUGUGCGAAGGCUUGCCGGUUGCGUGGCUGCUCUCAGCAGGUUUAUCUCUAAGUCUGCUGAGCAUGCCCUGCCGUUUUUCAAAAUAUUGAAAAAGGCAGGUCCAAUGAAAUGGACUCCAGAAGCGGAGGAUGCGCUGCAGGACUUGAAGAGGUACCUGUCCUCCACUCCAAUACUUGUC